GAUGAACGCUGGCGGCGUGCCUAAUACAUGCAAGUCGAGCGAACAGAUGAGGAGCUUGCUCCUCUGACGUUAGCGGCGGACGGGUGAGUAACACGUGGAUAACCUACCUUUAAGACUGGGAUAACUUCGGGAAACCGGAGCUAAUACCGGAUAAUAUUUUAAACCGCAUGGUUCAAAAGUGAAAGACGGUCUUGCUGUCACUUAUAGAUGGAUCCGCGCGGCAUUAGCUAGUUGGUAAGGUAACGGCUUACCAAGGCAACGAUGCGUAGCCGACCUGAGAGGGUGAUCGGCCACACUGGAACUGAGACACGGUCCAGACUCCUACGGGAGGCAGCAGUAGGGAAUCUUCCGCAAUGGGCGAAAGCCUGACGGAGCAACGCCGCGUGAGUGAUGAAGGUCUUCGGAUCGUAAAACUCUGUUAUUAGGGAAGAACAAAUGUGUAAGUAACUGUGCACGUCUUGACGGUACCUAAUCAGAAAGCCACGGCUAACUACGUG
rnacentral:rRNA from 1 species